GAAGUGGCAUCACUUUAUUAUUAUAACUCCGGUGGUUUUGGAUGGGCGUGCGACUGAUUAGGUAGUUGGCGGGGUAACGGCCCACCAAGCCUGCGAUCAGUAACUGGUGUGAGAGCACGACCAGUCACACGGGCACUGAGACACGGGCCCGACUCCUACGGGAGGCAGCAGUAAGGAAUAUUGGUCAAUGGACGAAAGUCUGAACCAGCCAUGCCGCGUGAAGGAUGAAGGUCCUCUGGAUUGUAAACUUCUUUUAUAGGGGACGAAAAAAGGGAAUUCUUUCUCACUUGACGGUACCCUAGGAAUAAGCACCGGCUAACUCCGUGCCAGCAGCCGCGGUAAUACGGAGGGUGCAAGCGUUAUCCGGAUUCACUGGGUUUAAAGGGAGCGUAGGUGGGCAGGUAAGUCAGUGGUGAAAUCUCCGGGCUUAACCCGGAAACUGCCAUUGAUACUAUUUGUCUUGAAUAUUCUGGAGGUAAGCGGAAUAUGUCAUGUAGCGGUGAAAUGCUUAGAUAUGACAUAGAACACCCAUUGCGAAGGCAGCUUACUACGGAACUAUUGACACUGAGGCUCGAAAGCGUGGGGAUCAAACAGGAUUAGAUACCCUGGUAGUCCACGCCCUAAACGAUGGAUACUCGACAUCAGCGAUACACUGUUGGUGUCUGAGCGAAAGCAUUAAGUAUCCCACCUGGGAAGUACGACCGCAAGGU
rnacentral:rRNA from 1 species